rnacentral:rRNA from 1 species
GAGUUUGAUCUUGGCUCAGAUUGAACGCUGGCGGAAUGCUUUACACAUGCAAGUCGAGCGGCAGCGCGGGGCAACCUGGCGGCGAGCGGCGAACGGGUGAGUAAUGCAUCGGAACAUGUCCAUGUCGUGGGGGAUAGCCCGGCGAAAGCCGGAUUAAUACCGCAUGUGCCCGAGAGGGGAAAGUGGGGGACCGCAAGGCCUCACGCGAUUGGGUUGGCCGAUGUCCGAUUAGCUAGUUGGCGGGGUAAGAGCCCACCAAGGCGAUGAUCGGUAGCUGGUCUGAGAGGAUGAUCAGCCACACUGGGACUGAGACACGGCCCAGACUCCUACGGGAGGCAGCAGUGGGGAAUUUUGGACAAUGGGGGCAACCCUGAUCCAGCCAUUCCGCGUGAGUGAAGAAGGCCUUCGGUU